UUUAUGUAUAGGACAAGAACUAUAGAAGAUACAGAGAAAUUAUAAACAGCAGAAAUGAUAGGCAAUUUAAAAUUUGCAGAAGCAAACUAAACCUAAAUGGUAAGGCCACUUUUAUUUAUUUUUUUAAAGUUGUUGAACUUGAAAGAUGAUAAUCAUGAUGAUUACUAUAAAAAUUAAAAGAUGUGGUAUAUUAAAUAUGAAAACUAUCAUGGCUUUAAGAAAGCAAUUGUAGGCCUGUGACGACCUUCAAUAAUGAGAAAAUCCAUACCCUAUAGUCAAAGUAGGCAGCUAUAAAAGACCCAAAGAUGAAAAAUUGAAACAAUCCAACAUGUCCAAACUGUAAAACUAAUUGCCUAGUUUAUUACAAAAUAAAUUACAAAAAAUAAAUAUGACCGGUAUGAAACAACAACAACAACAACCACUAAAUUUUAGUGUCAGACUAAACUUACAAAAACUACAGGCUCUGAACUUUGGACAGGCACAAUAGGAAUAUGGCAACCUAUGAUGUAAAUUUCCUGCAAACACAGACUGGACUAAUGUAAAUCAACUAAUUUUUCGCGACUACUUUAUUUUGCGUUUUAUACUUUCUAGUCUACAUCACAGCUAAUUAUUUUUCGCAAGGUUCAAGUUUACUUAAUGAAUUUUAAUAAAGAAAGCUACAUAUGAAAAACAUUUAUUGCUGUUUCUCUCUCCAUUUAUAACAUUUUAUUUGUUUAUUUUGUGUAUUUAUAGGUGAUCAGACAUCUUGGUUUUCACGAUCAAUAGGUCAUUACUGAAGAGGAAACUUAAAGUUGAAAUUUAUUUACAAAGUGCAUAAUUGGAUUAAUUUGAACUGGAAUGUGUGCUUUCCUGCAAAAAAGAAAAAACAGGAAAUUUC
rnacentral:lncRNA from 1 species